rnacentral:rRNA from 1 species
GACGAACGCUGGCGGCGUGCUUAACACAUGCAAGUCGAACGGGCCCUUCGGGGUCAGUGGCAGACGGGUGAGUAACACGUGGGAACGUGCCCUUCAGUUUGGGAUAACCCAGGGAAACUUGGGCUAAUACCGGAUACGUGCGUGAGCAGAAAGAUUUAUCGCUGAAGGAUCGGCCCGCGUCUGAGUAGCUGGUUGGUAGGGUAAUGGCCUACCAAGGCGACGAUCAGUAGCUGGUCUGAGAGGAUGAUCAGCCACAUUGGGACUGAGACACGGCCCAAACUCCUACGGGAGGCAGCAGUGGGGAAUAUUGGACAAUGGGCGCAAGCCUGAUCCAGCCAUGCCGCGUGAGUGAUGAAGGCCUUAGGGUUGUAAAGCUCUUUCAGUGGGGACGAUAAUGACGGUACCCGCAGAAGAAGCCCCGGCUAACUUCGUGCCAGCCGCCGCUGUAA